UUCCUGGAGGACUAGUGGUUAGGGCCUGGCGCUCACAACGCCGCUGCCAAGGUUUGAUUCCCAGCCAGGGCA